rfam:Limnochorda pilosa DNA, complete genome, strain: HC45.
GAAUUCCUGCCCCCGCAAGGGCCAGCCACCCACGGGGAAGCGAGCCUUGGGUCGUCAACCGCGAGGUUGACGGCUAAGCGUAGGCAGCGCGACGACCAGGCCGCAGCUCGCAAGGGCGAAGGGAUCGAGCCUCGUUACGGUUAUGGACCGAGGGCCGACGGUGUCGGAAUGGCCGGAAGGCAGCAGUACGCGCUCGGUAGGGCGAGAGCGCGGGAGACCUCGGCGGGGUCGGAGACCG